UGAAUAUGGGUGCUGAGAUAUUUUGAAGGGU
rnacentral:piRNA from 1 species